UUAAGCGACUAAGCGUACACGGUGGAUGCCCUGGCAGUCAGAGGCGAUGAAGGACGUGCUAAUCUGCGAUAAGCGCCGGUAAGGUGAUAUGAACCGUUAUAACCGGCGAUUUCCGAAUGGGGAAACCCAGUGUGACUCGUCACACUAUCAUUAACUGAAUCCAUAGGUUAAUGAGGCGAACCGGGGGAACUGAAACAUCUAAGUACCCCGAGGAAAAGAAAUCAACCGAGAUUCCCCCAGUAGCGGCGAGCGAACGGGGAGGAGCCCAGAGCCUGAAUCAGCAUGUGUGUUAGUGGAAGCGUCUGGAAAGGCGCGCGAUACAGGGUGACAGCCCCGUACACAAAAGCGCAUGUGCUGUGAGCUCGAUGAGUAGGGCGGGACACGUGGUAUCCUGUCUGAAUAUGGGGGGACCAUCCUCCAAGGCUAAAUACUCCUGACUGACCGAUAGUGAACCAGUACCGUGAGGGAAAGGCGAAAAGAACCCCGGCGAGGGGAGUGAAAAAGAACCUGAAACCGUGUACGUACAAGCAGUGGGAGCACAGGUUUACCUGUGUGACUGCGUACCUUUUGUAUAAUGGGUCAGCGACUUAUAUUCUGUAGCAAGGUUAACCGCAUAGGGGAGCCGGAGGGAAACCGAGUCUUAAUUGGGCGUUAAGUUGCAGGGUAUAGACCCGAAACCCGGUGAUCUAGCCAUGGGCAGGUUGAAGGUUGGGUAACACUAACUGGAGGACCGAACCGACUAAUGUUGAAAAAUUAGCGGAUGACCUGUGGCUGGGGGUGAAAGGCCAAUCAAACCGGGAGAUAGCUGGUUCUCCCCGAAAGCUAUUUAGGUAGCGCCUCGUGAAUUCAUCUCCGGGGGUAGAGCACUGUUUCGGCUAGGGGGCCAUCCCGGCUUACCAACCCGAUGCAAACUGCGAAUACCGGAGAAUGUUAUCACGGGAGACACACGGCGGGUGCUAACGUCCGUCGUGAAGAGGGAAACAACCCAGACCGCCAGCUAAGGUCCCAAAGUCAUGGUUAAGUGGGAAACGAUGUGGGAAGGCCCAGACAGCCAGGAUGUUGGCUUAGAAGCAGCCAUCAUUUAAAGAAAGCGUAAUAGCUCACUGGUCGAGUCGGCCUGCGCGGAAGAUGUAACGGGGCUAAACCAUGCACCGAAGCUGCGGCAGCGAACGUAUCACCCAAGACAACUUUGCGGAGUUGACGAUUGACGGAGCGAAGCGACGUCAAAGCGUUCAUUAAAGUCGAGUUGGCUUAGGGAUACGUUCGUUGGGUAGGGGAGCGUUCUGUAAGCCUGCGAAGGUGGCCUGUGAGGGUUGCUGGAGGUAUCAGAAGUGCGAAUGCUGACAUAAGUAACGAUAAAGCGGGUGAAAAGCCCGCUCGCCGGAAGACCAAGGGUUCCUGUCCAACGUUAAUCGGGGCAGGGUGAGUCGACCCCUAAGGCGAGGCCGAAAGGCGUAGUCGAUGGGAAACGGGUUAAUAUUCCCGUACUUGGUGUUACUGCGAAGGGGGGACGGAGAAGGCUAUGUUGGCCGGGCGACGGUUGUCCCGGUUUAAGCGUGUAGGUGUGUGUUCCAGGUAAAUCCGGUUCACUUUAACACUGAGGCGUGACGACGAGGCACUACGGUGCUGAAGCAACAAAUGCCCUGCUUCCAGGAAAAGCCUCUAAGCAUCAGGUAACAUCAAAUCGUACCCCAAACCGACACAGGUGGUCAGGUAGAGAAUACCAAGGCGCUUGAGAGAACUCGGGUGAAGGAACUAGGCAAAAUGGUGCCGUAACUUCGGGAGAAGGCACGCUGACACGUAGGUGAAGUGAUUUACUCAUGGAGCUGAAGUCAGUCGAAGAUACCAGCUGGCUGCAACUGUUUAUUAAAAACACAGCACUGUGCAAACACGAAAGUGGACGUAUACGGUGUGACGCCUGCCCGGUGCCGGAAGGUUAAUUGAUGGGGUCAGCGCAAGCGAAGCUCCUGAUCGAAGCCCCGGUAAACGGCGGCCGUAACUAUAACGGUCCUAAGGUAGCGAAAUUCCUUGUCGGGUAAGUUCCGACCUGCACGAAUGGCGUAAUGAUGGCCAGGCUGUCUCCACCCGAGACUCAGUGAAAUUGAACUCGCUGUGAAGAUGCAGUGUACCCGCGGCAAGACGGAAAGACCCCGUGAACCUUUACUAUAGCUUGACACUGAACAUUGAGCCUUGAUGUGUAGGAUAGGUGGGAGGCUUUGAAGUGUGGACGCCAGUCUGCAUGGAGCCGACCUUGAAAUACCACCCUUUAAUGUUUGAUGUUCUAACGUGGACCCGUGAUCCGGGUUGCGGACAGUGUCUGGUGGGUAGUUUGACUGGGGCGGUCUCCUCCUAAAGAGUAACGGAGGAGCACGAAGGUUGGCUAAUCCUGGUCGGACAUCAGGAGGUUAGUGCAAUGGCAUAAGCCAGCUUGACUGCGAGCGUGACGGCGCGAGCAGGUGCGAAAGCAGGUCAUAGUGAUCCGGUGGUUCUGAAUGGAAGGGCCAUCGCUCAACGGAUAAAAGGUACUCCGGGGAUAACAGGCUGAUACCGCCCAAGAGUUCAUAUCGACGGCGGUGUUUGGCACCUCGAUGUCGGCUCAUCACAUCCUGGGGCUGAAGUAGGUCCCAAGGGUAUGGCUGUUCGCCAUUUAAAGUGGUACGCGAGCUGGGUUUAGAACGUCGUGAGACAGUUCGGUCCCUAUCUGCCGUGGGCGCUGGAGAACUGAGGGGGGCUGCUCCUAGUACGAGAGGACCGGAGUGGACGCAUCACUGGUGUUCGGGUUGUCAUGCCAAUGGCACUGCCCGGUAGCUAAAUGCGGAAGAGAUAAGUGCUGAAAGCAUCUAAGCACGAAACUUGCCCCGAGAUGAGUUCUCCCUGAGACUUUAGGUCUCCUGAAGGAACGUUGAAGACGACGACGUUGAUAGGCCGGGUGUGUAAGCGCAGCGAUGCGUUGAGCUAACCGGUACUAAUGAACCGUGAGGCUUAACCUU
rnacentral:rRNA from 1 species